rnacentral:lncRNA from 1 species
CUAGCCAGUCUACUUCAGGCUCUAGACAGCACGCGGUAAGUAUCUUCUCUUAACAUAAUGCAUGUGUUUGUUACGUACUUUGCCAUAUAUAUGUAAUACUCUUCGUGCCAAUUGCAGGCUCAGUUGACACAGGAUUUACAGGCCGAGUUCGCUGCGUAUGGACGUUCGCUUUCGACCGGUCCACUUCUACUACCACGGGAGCCGCACCGGUCCUGGCUUAGACGAAUGGAGGAGAAGCUACGCUCUGUUUACGCGGCUAUCACGUGCACCCGCACUUCGGACGUCGUUCACCACCAGGCGUCCGUACGGCCCCCUCGUCACUCCACACACCAGCAGCGGCCACGUCAGCAGGAAGCACCGCACCCCCGACACCACCCGCGUCCACGUCUACCAGAGCAGUCGACGCCCAGGCCACCACCUCCUGAGCAGGCCGGAGGUUCGUCGUGG